rnacentral:tRNA from 1 species
GGUCCAAUGGUCUAGAGGUAUGAUUCUCACCUUGGGUGCGAGAGGUCCCGGGUUCAAAUCCCGGUUUGGACCU